rnacentral:lncRNA from 1 species
UUAGGGAGAGCCCGGAGGCUAGUACAGAAACCAGUUCUUUGGAGGAUGCGCAUGUUCGAGUUGAAGGAGAUGCGGUCGAACGCGUGGCGGGUGAAGGCUCUGUGCUUCCAAUAUGCAAAGAGGCCUCAUCUUCUGGAGUUGCGGUGGAUGCACGUCCUAUGAUUGAUGAUAGAAGUAAGGUUGUUGCUGAAGGGGAUGUUGGAUCUGAUUCCGACAUGGAUGCGGG